rnacentral:sRNA from 1 species
UUUAACUUUUAACAUUACGCCGUCUAGUUAAAUCCAUUGUUUUGAAAUUGAAACU